rnacentral:lncRNA from 1 species
UACUACCUUCAGUCCAACUAGUCCUUUCGUCGAUCUCUUACGGGAAUUCAGUGCGAUAACCAAUCCGCAGAGCCAGCACGCAGGCUAACAG